rnacentral:rRNA from 1 species
GACAGAGGGUGCAAACGUUGCUCGGAAUCACUGGGCGUAAAGCGCGUGUAGGCGGCAGGGCAAGUCGGAUGUGAAAGCCCACGGCUCAACCGUGGAAGUGCACCCGAAACUGCCUCGCUAGAGUCUCGGAGAGGAAGGUGGAAUGCUUGGUGUAGAGGUGAAAUUCGUAGAUAUCAAGCGGAACACCGGUGGCGAAGGCGGCCUGCUGGACGAUGACUGACGCUGAGACGCGAAAGCUGGGGGAGCAAACGGG